rnacentral:rRNA from 1 species
GACGAACGCUGGCGGCGUGCCUAAUACAUGCAAGUGGGACGCAAGGGAACACACUGUGCUUGCACACCGUGUUUUCUUGAGUCGCGAACGGGUGAGUAACGCGUAGGUAACCUGCCUAUUAGCGGGGGAUAACUAUUGGAAACGAUAGCUAAUACCGCAUAAUAUUAAUUAUUGCAUGAUAAUUGAUUGAAAGAUGCAAGCGCAUCACUAGUAGAUGGACCUGCGUUGUAUUAGCUAGUUGGUAAGGUAAGAGCUUACCAAGGCGACGAUACAUAGCCGACCUGAGAGGGUGAUCGGCCACACUGGGACUGAGACACGGCCCAGACUCCUACGGGAGGCAGCAGUAGGGAAUCUUCGGCAAUGGACGAAAGUCUGACCGAGCAACGCCGCGUGAGUGAAGAAGGUUUUCGGAUCGUAAAGCUCUGUUGUAAGUCAAGAACGUGUGUGAGAGUGGAAAGUUCACACAGG